rnacentral:rRNA from 1 species
AGAGGUUGAUCCUGGCUCAGGAUGAACGCUGGCGGCGUGCUUAACACAUGCAAGUCGAGCGAAGCGGUUAAGUUGAUUUCUUCGGAUUGAUUCUUGACUGACUGAGCGGCGGACGGGUGAGUAACGCGUGGGUGACCUGCCCCAUACCGGGGGAUAACAGCUGGAAACGGCUGCUAAUACCGCAUAAGCGCACAGAGCUGCAUGGCUCGGUGUGAAAAACUCCGGUGGUAUGGGAUGGGCCCGCGUCUGAUUAGGCAGUUGGCGGGGUAACGGCCCACCAAACCGACGAUCAGUAGCCGGCCUGAGAGGGCGACCGGCCACAUUGGGACUGAGACACGGCCCAAACUCCUACGGGAGGCAGCAGUGGGGAAUAUUGCACAAUGGGCGAAAGCCUGAUGCAGCGACGCCGCGUGAAGGAUGAAGUAUUUCGGUAUGUAAACUUCUAUCAGCAGGGAAGAAAAUGACGGUACCUGACUAAGAAGCCCCGGCUAACUACGUGCCAGCAGCCGCGGU